rnacentral:rRNA from 1 species
UACGGAGGGGGCUAGCGUUGUUCGGAAUUACUGGGCGUAAAGCGCACGUAGGCGGCUUUGUAAGCUAGAGGUGAAAGCCCGGAGCUCAACUCCGGAAUUGCCUUUAAGACUGCAUCGCUCGAAUCAUGGAGAGGUGAGUGGAAUUCCGAGUGUAGAGGUGAAAUUCGUAGAUAUUCGGAAGAACACCAGUGGCGAAGGCGACUCACUGGACAUGUAUUGACGCUGAGGUGCGAAAGCGUGGGGAGCAAACAGG